CUUAGACUAUGAGAUUGCAUGCUAGCAUAUAGGCUAAGCACUAGGCCAACACUUUGAUUAGUACUUAUACGAUAUAAAAACCAUGGAAAGACACUGAGAUUGCAGUGUGUUGGUCUAAGCUAGGUAGCUAGCUAGGCAUGGCAUGGCAUUUCUCAAAAGCUUCAUCUCCUUUAGUCCCUCCCCUUCCCCUUGGGAAGUAUCCUGGUGUCCUUUCCUCUUUGCUUUUACUCACUUUAUGGUAAGAAUCGGCACGCAGCUGCAGGACAAGAGAGCAAGCUAGCAACCAUGGAUGGAUCGAUGGAGCUGUUGUGGACUUGUGGUAGAGAAAGCAUCAUCCCUGGCUCACUGCUGCUCCUCUAUAAAUCCAGCCUCACCCCCGUGCUCCUUCCACCAUCCUCCACACCCGUGCACAGUUCUCCAAUUACUCCCCAAGCUAACCUAGCUCUAUCUUUCUCUCUCCGGUCGUCGUCGUAGUAGUAGCUGCCUGCCUGCCUCCUUGUCCUUGCUUCAUGUGUGUCUUGCAUACCCAUCAAGAUCUAGCUUUGUUUCUCCCACUAAUCACUACUCACUACUACUCUCCACCUAUGUAGAAAGAGAGAGGGACAUGAAUAAUCCAUUUGGUUUCCUUGGCCUUUCUUUCUGAACUAUUUGCCUAUUUGGUGAACGAGAUAGAGGUUUGAUGAUGGAUCUAAUCAAGAUUGUGCUGUGCCUGGCUCCCUGUAUGCCACACAUGUAGCCCAACCCAAGAAUGUGGUUGCCUGCUGUGGGUGGCGUGCAAGGUGCCAAGCAUGCAUUUACAGGUCGACGGAAAAUGCUUUAGGUCUUCUCCUCUCGUAGCUAGUGAUUAACAUGGUCCGAAGAAACCAGCGAGGUUAAUUAUGAACUUAUGGUGUUUAUCUUGUGAUGAACUUUAGCACAUCACUACUGUGUGAAAUGUUACUGUAGUCUAUGCUUGAUUUGAUGCAAAUGCUUAGCAGGCAUGAUUAAUAUAUAGAUAUGCAUGAUAUAUACCUUUCUGCCC